AGGAGCCGUGUGAAAUUAACGUUUCAUGCACGGUUUUGUAGCCGAGUCAGGGGGGUGACUUCCUGGCUUAGGCAUCC
rnacentral:autocatalytically_spliced_intron from 1 species